rnacentral:misc_RNA from 1 species
GGAAAUUAGGGGGACCUGCGGUUCGUUUUAGUAGAAUACUCUAUUUGUUGUUCUUUGUUUGCCUUUGCCCUUGGCGAAUUUGGGAUUAACCUUGACAACAUUCUGCCAUAAAUUUUCCCCUUGCAUCUCUAUUCAUAUGGUUUCUCUCUCGUUUUACAAGCUUUGGGAAGCUGCCAAGUUACCAUUAUGCCCAAAUAUAAGUGGCUUAUAUUG